rnacentral:tRNA from 1 species
UGCGAAGUAGAGCAGUUGGUAGCUCGUCGGGCUCAUAAUCCGAAGGACAUUGGUUCAAAUCCAAUUUUCGCAA